GCGCUUCCAUCACUAAGCCCUCGGAGGUCCGCAGCUUUCGUCCUAGGCUCCAGCGCCCUCACCUGGUGGCCGCGGCUUGUCCCGGCGGCGGCUCUCGGGCUCAGGUCUGCGGCUCCCGGAGCGGCCGCCAGAGCCCGCCCGGGUCCGGCCCCGCAGGCCGCCCACCGCGCUCCCGUCACACUUGCUUACGCUCAGGAGCUCAACGCGUGGGAUCAGAUACUAGACUACGGGAUGCUGCACUCCAGAUCCCCGAGGCGUGGCAGGGUCUCGGUCAUCAACCUGAGAUCAGAGGAUUCUUUGUUUCCUCCACUCAAAAGGGAUAGAGUUCAGGUGCAUCCCACAGAUGCUGGGAGUCUCUCCGUGACUCUCCUCAACUGCUGAUGUCCCUACAGCAGAAGCCUAUUCCCACCUCAUGCUGAAGUCUGGGCUGUCUUCUUUGUGCUAGAGUCCAGACUCCUGUGGCUUCCAGGUAAGAAAAUGACUGAACUACAGAACACUCGUUGGAAGUAAGGCCAGCGAGGGGAGGAAGC
rnacentral:lncRNA from 1 species